rnacentral:rRNA from 1 species
UACAGAGGGUGCGAGCGUUAAUCGGAAUUACUGGGCGUAAAGCGCGCGUAGGCGGCUUUGCAAGUCGAUUGUGAAAUCCCCAGGCUUAACCUGGGAACUGCAUUCGAUACGGGCAGACUAGAGUUCGGUAGGGGAGACUGGAAUUCCUGGUGUAGCGGUGAAAUGCGCAGAUAUCAGGAGGAACACCGGUGGCGAAGGCGGGUCUCUGGGCCGAAACUGACGCUGAGGAGCGAAAGCGUGGGGAGCAAACAGG